rnacentral:rRNA from 1 species
UACGGGGGGGGCAAGCGUUGUUCGGAAUUACUGGGCGUAAAGGGCUCGUAGGCGGCCAACUAAGUCAGACGUGAAAUCCCUCGGCUUAACCGGGGAACUGCAUCUGAUACUGGAUGGCUUGAGUUCGGGAGAGGGAUGCGGAAUUCCAGGUGUAGCGGUGAAAUUCGUAGAUAUCAAGCGGAACACCGGUGGCGAAGGCGGCCUUCUGGACAGUGACUGACGCUGAGGAGCGAAAGCCAGGGGAGCAAACGGG